AACGCUAGCUACAGGCUUAACACAUGCAAGUCGAGGGGCAGCAUGAACUUAGCUUGCUAAGUUUGAUGGCGACCGGCGCACGGGUGAGUAACACGUAUCCAACCUGCCGAUGACUCGGGGAUAGCCUUUCGAAAGAAAGAUUAAUACCCGAUGGCAUAGUUCUUCCGCAUGGUAGAACUAUUAAAGAAUUUCGGUCAUCGAUGGGGAUGCGUUCCAUUAGGUUGUUGGCGGGGUAACGGCCCACCAAGCCUUCGAUGGAUAGGGGUUCUGAGAGGAAGGUCCCCCACAUUGGAACUGAGACACGGUCCAAACUCCUACGGGAGGCAGCAGUGAGGAAUAUUGGUCAAUGGACGAGAGUCUGAACCAGCCAAGUAGCGUGAAGGAUGACUGCCCUAUGGGUUGUAAACUUCUUUUAUACGGGAAUAAAGUGAGGCACGCGUGCCUUUUUGUAUGUACCGUAUGAAUAAGGAUCGGCUAACUCCGUGCCAGCAGCCGCGGUAAUACGGAGGAUCCGAGCGUUAUCCGGAUUUAUUGGGUUUAAAGGGAGCGUAGGCGGACGCUUAAGUCAGUUGUGAAAGUUUGCGGCUCAACCGUAAAAUUGCAGUUGAUACUGGAUAUCUUGAGUGCAGUUGAGGCAGGCGGAAUUCGUGGUGUAGCGGUGAAAUGCUUAGAUAUCACGAAGAACUCCGAUUG
rnacentral:rRNA from 1 species